rnacentral:rRNA from 1 species
GGCUUUUUGAUGAUAAUUUAAGGUCUGACCUGCCCAAUGAUGUAAUAUUAAAUGGCCGCGGUAUCUUGACCGUGCAAAGGUAGCAUAAUCAUUAGUUUUUUAAUUGAAAGCUUGUAUGAAAGGUUUAAUGAGAAAGGAGCUGUCUCUGCUGUAAUUUUUAAGAAAUUUAUUUUUAAGUUAAAAGGCUUAAAUGUGUAUCAAAGACGAGAAGACCCUGUAGAGUUUUAUAUUUUUAAAAGGUUAUUAAAUUUUAGGAUAUAUUUUAUUAAUUUUUUAAAAUUAUUUGGUUGGGGUGAUUGAAAAAUUGGUAAAACUUUUUUAUGUGGAUUUCAUUGAUUUAUGAAUUUUUGAUCCUUAUUUGAGAUUAAUAGAUAAAAUUACCUUAGGGAUAACAGCGUAAUUUUUUUUAGAGUUCUUAUCGAAAAAAAAGAUUGCGACCUCGAUGUUGGAUUAAAAUUAAUUAUUGGUGUAGAAGCUAAUAAGUUGGGUCUGUUCGACCUUUGAAUUUUUACAUGAUCUGAGUUUAAACCGGUGUGAG